rnacentral:tRNA from 1 species
CGCCUCGGUGGCCAGGUCGAGCGCGGCGGUCGCCUCGUCGAGCAGCAGCACGUCCGGAUCGACCAGUUCGGCCCGGGCCAGGGCGA